rnacentral:rRNA from 1 species
UACGAAGGGGGCUAGCGUUGCUCGGAAUUACUGGGCGUAAAGGGCGCGUAGGCGGAUAUUUAAGUCGGGGGUGAAAGCCCGGGGCUCAACCUCGGAAUUGCCUUCGAUACUGGAUAUCUUGAGUACGGGAGAGGUGAGUGGAACUCCGAGUGUAGAGGUGAAAUUCGUAGAUAAUUCGGAAGAACACCAGUGGCGAAGGCGACUCACUGGCCCGUUACUGACGCUGAGGCGCGAAAGCGUGGGGAGCAAACAGG